UGGGGAAUAUUGCACAAUGGGGGAAACCCUGAUGCAGCGACGCCGCGUGAACGAAGAAGGUAUUCGUAUCGUAAAGUUCUGUCCUAUGGGAAGAUAAUGACAGUACCAUAGAAGAAAGCUCCGGCUAAAUACGUGCCAGCAGCCGCGGUAAUACGUAUGGAGCGAGCGUUGUCCGGAAUUAUUGGGCGUAAAGGGUACGCAGGCGGUUUAAUAAGUCGAAUGUUAAAGAUCGGGGCUCAACCCCGCAAAGCAUUGGAAACUGAUAAACUUGAGUAGUGGAGAGGAAAGUGGAAUUCCUAGUGUAGUGGUGAAAUACGUAGAUAUUAGGAGGAAUACCAGUAGCUAAGGCGACGUUCUGGACACAAACUGACGCUGAGGUACGAAAGCGUGGGGAGCAAACAGG
rnacentral:rRNA from 1 species